rnacentral:rRNA from 1 species
CCUACGGGAGGCAGCAGUGAGGAAUAUUGGUCAAUGGACGAGAGUCUGAACCAGCCAAGUAGCGUGAAGGAUGACUGCCCUAUGGGUUGUAAACUUCUUUUAUAUGGGAAUAAAAUGUUCCACGUGUGGGAUUUUGUAUGUACCAUAUGAAUAAGGAUCGGCUAACUCCGUGCCAGCAGCCGCGGGAAUACGGAGGAUCCGAGCGUUAUCCGGAUUUAUUGGGUUUAAAGGGAGCGUAGGUGGAUUGUUAAGUCAGUUGUGAAAGUUUGCGGUUCAACCGUAAAAUUGCAGUUGAAACUGGCAGUCUUGAGUACAGUAGAGGUGGGCGGAAUUCGUGGUGUAGCGGUGAAAUGCUUAGAUAUCACGAAGAACUCCGAUUGCGAAGGCAGUUCACUGGACUGCAACUGACACUGAGGCUCGAAAGUGUGGGUAUCAAACAGGAUUAGAUACCCCAGUAGUC